UUUCCGUAGGUGAACCUGCGGAAGGAUCAUUAUCGAAAAGCAAUCCGGGGGGGAGGCCCCCGAGCGAAGUUUGGUAGAUCGUAGGGAUUGUCGCUGGCCUUUGGAAACGAAGGCAUGUGCACGUUCCGAGUUCUCCUUAGUCCUCCUUUGCCUUUCCUUUGGAAGACCCUUUCUUCACACCCGUGCACACAUUGUAGGUCUCCGCGAGGGGAUCUAUGUCUUCACAAAACCCUACGUAUGUCCAGGAAUGUAUCUAAAGCGCCGAACGGCUUGGCUCCAUGCCCGGUCGCCGACGGUAAAGAACCAUAAUACAACUUUCAGCAACGGAUCUCUUGGCUCUC
rnacentral:misc_RNA from 1 species